UAAGUUUAUAAAAGAAUAUUGUACUUUCCCUUACCAAGAAUAUGACGUAAACAAAGAAGGUAAAUAGUGAAGGGGUGGUUAAACUUCACCUGGUUAUUCCGGUCAUAAACGCUAGUACUAGAGUGAGAGUUGUGAACUGUUGGAACACUCUACCAGAGAGUGUUGUGACGGCACCGAGUGUGAGCUCUUUCAAGACCAGACUUGACCAACACUGGAGCAGGUUCAGGUACAUUCAGGAGCCGGUGCCGUGCACAAAACCUUCUGGGCUCUCACAAAUCAGUCGUACAUCUUAGAUGUCGAUAACGAACAUCAGUAAUUGCUGAGCCCGGAAGGUUUAUCGCACCGGAAGAUGUGUUGCAUGACCAGUACUUGCCAACAGUGCGUAACAGAGACGUGAACGAUCGCCAGGGCGGCUAACGAGCCGAUCAAUGGUAAAGAGGAUAAAAUCAACCCUCGAAGAUUCGGACCCUGUAAAUCCGGAUUUUGGAAGAUUCGGACAAAAAAUUUGGAGGUCUGGGCCAAGACGCCUCCCUAAGAAUCAUCCCCAAAACAGAAGAGGAUAAAAGUAAAAAAGUAAAGUAAAAGAACAAAGAACAUCUUGGGACCAUGGGUGCUGGCUGACCAGUCGGCCACAGAACAAAUGUCCCCGGCUGAUAUCCUCCAGUUGGCUAUUUCCUGUUCCUUCCAAAAACCUUUGUUGGAGGAAUAUUUCCUCUAAACUUACGUCAAACUUGGAGGAAAAUCAUCCCUAGUUUGUGGGUAACGAGUAGAGUACAGUAGAUGCAGAGGGUAUAAUCUCUUCCUUGGACGUCAGUUGUACCUUUACCUCUUGGACAAAUGAGUUUUACAAAUAUAGAACAACUUUGAAGCUUCACCUUAGGGUAAUGUUGAGUAAUAAAAUAACCAACACUGCCUUUGGCCAUGGAGGCUGCAGGCUGACAUCAUGUACACUGCCUUUGGCCAUGGAGGCUGUAGGCUGACAUGAUGUACACUGCCUUUGGCCAUGGAGGCUGCAGGCUGACAUGAUGUACACUGCCUUUGGCCAUGGAGGCUGUAGGCUGACAUGAUGUACACUGCCUUUGGCCAUGGAGGCUGCAGGCUGACAUGAUGUACACUGCCUUUGGCCAUGGAGGCUGCAGGCUGACAUGAUGUACACUGGCCGGCUCUGGUGCAUUGGGAGUGUGUAUGACUGUCCUCAGUACAGAACUGUAGUAGAUUUUAAACCAAAAUAUAAAAUGUAAACUUUUAUAG